UACGUAGGGUGCGAGCGUUGUCCGGAAUUAUUGGGCGUAAAGGGCUCGUAGGCGGUUUAUCGCGUCGGGAGUGAAAUCAUCUGGCUUAACUGGGUGCUUGCUUUCGAUACGGGCAGACUAGAGGUAUGCAGGGGAGAACGGAAUUCCUGGUGUAGCGGUGAAAUGCGCAGGUAUCAGGAGGAACACCGGUGGCGAAGGCGGUUCUCUGGGCAUGACCUGACGCUGAGGAGCGAAAGUGUGGGGAGCGAACAGG
rnacentral:rRNA from 1 species